rnacentral:misc_RNA from 1 species
UCGCGGCUUAUCACCGGCAGUCUCCUUAGAGUGCUCAACUAAAUGGUAGCAACUAAGGACGGGGGUUGCGCUCGUUGCGGGACUUAACCCAACAUCUCACGACACGAGCUGACGACAGCCAUGCACCACCUGUGCACUGGCCCCGAAGGGCUACCGGGUUUCCCCGGUAUUCCAGUGCAUGUCAAGCCCAGGUAAGGUUCUUCGCGUUGCGUCGAAUUAAUCCGCAUGCUCCGCCGCUUGUGCGGGUCCCCGUCAAUUCCUUUGAGUUUUAGCCUUGCGGCCGUACUCCCAGGCGGGGAACUUAAUGCGUUAGCUGCGUCACGGAAUCCGUGGAAUGGACCCCACAACUAGUUCCCAACGUUUACGGGGUGGACUAC